CAGUAGAAGAAGGAGCUCUGUAACUCUGUACAGCUCAUUGGCAUCGUCGUUACACCUGUCCAAAUCAAGCCCCUCAGCUCUGGCAAGGUCAUCGCUUCGUCUUGCCUAGCCGUCAAGAAAUCCUGUACCGACACUGCCUGGUCUGAGCUUGAAAUCAACUAUACAUGGAUCGCAAUUGCAAAGGUAAGCUUCGUUAGAAUUUCUGCUUUAAAGCAAUUCAUGUAUAAUGUUUAUAUUUGUUUUCUUCCCUCUUUAUACUUACCCUGAUAGGUGUGUUCAUGUUCCUAGCACUGUGAGAAUCAAAAUCAUUAAGAUGUAUAAAGUCUUGGUUUGCGUGGUUUCACAUAUGGUUUGUAGCUGCAAUUUACACAUUGUCAAUUGGUCCAUGAGGAUGUAUAAUGCUAUAUCAGAACUUAGACAAGACAAAAGCAUUCUAUACAUGUUUGGAAUGUGGGAAAAAAUAUUUAUUGAUACCCACUCGUUAGAUUGUUUCUUGAAUGGACUGUAGUCCCUUGUUGCCUUGACUAGAACUUACUGCACAUGAAAGCAUACCUAAUGGCCACAUUGCCCUCAAUGCCAUCCAACGUCGCCAUGCAAAAGUUUCUACUGGGGACACAAUAUCCAUGAGCAGAUUUGUUCCACCUGAAGACUUCAACCUAGCAUUGCUUACUCUUGAAUUGGAGUUUGUAAAGAAAGGGGGCUAAAGAUGAGCAGGUUGAUGCUGUUCUUUUGUCUCAGCAGGUUCGAAAGAGAUUUAUCAACCAGGUAAUAGCUGGUAGUGGUUUUCCUUACUUAAUUCCCCCCCAUAUAUUUAUAGGCACUAUUAGAGCAACUCCAAGGGAAGAGGCAUAUUAAUCCUGUUAGCUAUUUUAGCUAAUAUUACCCUAAAUUCUCACUCCAAUCGGCUGGCUAAACGGCUUCCUAUUUUCCCUCAUCCCUUCCCCGCGGGCUUCAAUUGGAGAGUGAUUGAAGGCUUUCCAAACUCGUCUCUCUCGUGAAAGUAUUCUGUUCCUUCUUCAAACACGUCUCUCCCGCGAAAUCAAUCUGCUCCUUCAGCAUGAAAUCGACCUUCCCCUUCAGCGUUGUCUGCAACUCCCUCUAUCUGACCUCUUCCUCAAGGUUAUGACGACGGGACAGGGGGUAACAUUUGAGUAUCAUGGCAAUGGUUAUAUUUUCACCGUUAAUCAAGCUGCUAUAGAGGGGCAAUAAAAGUCAAAAGGUAUUGAAAGAGGGAUGCUUUCAACUGAGACAUAUAUUGUCUUCGAAGCGCCAAAUUCCAAUGGA